rnacentral:rRNA from 1 species
UACGUAGGGUGCGAGCGUUGUCCGGAAUUAUUGGGCGUAAAGAGCUUGUAGGCGGUUUGUCGCGUCUGCUGUGAAAAUCCGGGGCUCAACCCCGGACUUGCAGUGGGUACGGGCAGACUAGAGUGUGGUAGGGGAGACUGGAAUUCCUGGUGUAGCGGUGAAAUGCGCAGAUAUCAGGAGGAACACCGAUGGCGAAGGCAGGUCUCUGGGCCGCUACUGACGCUGAGAAGCGAAAGCGUGGGGAGCGAACAGG